GUAAUAUAAAACCUGGGGUUGACUUUGAUGAUGAUUGUAUACACAUAUAAGGUUUUAAAAUUUAGACUUCAUAAAGAAAGGUGGGGGUCACUUUAGGGUUGCUCAAGGUUCAUUUGGGAAGUUAUCCUAUUUCUGAAUGUUUUUUUUACCUUAGUGCAUUUACCAUGUUGCCCUUACUAUUACUUAAUUUAUUUUCAUUCAUUUCUUUUGAGUUUAACUUGCAUAAUUUGUUUCUACAUGCAAAGAGUGAGAUAUGGCACUGAAAAUUUAACAGAACUUAACGAUGUCAAAGCUAUGCUACUGUAAAAAGUUGGGGCUCGGUAGACUUCUACAAAAAUAAUUAAAAUUAUCUUAAGAUCCUAUGGUUGAUUGCACUUAACUAUUUUUAUCUCCAGUUUCACAAAGAGUUUGGCUCUGAAAUUUUAACAGUGAGUUAUACUAGUGCAACACAGGUUCCUGAAAUUUGUCCAUGAUUUAC
rnacentral:lncRNA from 1 species